rnacentral:lncRNA from 1 species
UUGCGGCAACUCCAUUUGUUGUGGAGUGUAUGCAGCCGUUAGUUCCUCUUGAUUCCCAUUUCUUUACCAGAAAUGAUUAAAUCUUGUGAAGGUGAACAUCCCCUCAUUGAAUCAGUUACGUAAACACUUGAGGUAAUUCCAUGUUUCUUUCUCAACAAGACUCUUGAAGUAUUUAAAAGUGAUGAAUGCAUCGACUUCUCAACAAAAAGUAUAUCCAUAGUUUUCGAGGAAAGUCAAUCAAUGAACCAGAUUGACUAACUCUUGUUGCUAUUUGAUAUGGGAGUGCUCGGACCACACAACUCUGCAGGAUCAUUGGCGUUUCUGUGUUGCCCUCCAAGUGCUCUUCUUUGGAAUGGCAUAGGUCUCGGUUUGCUUUCCUACCAGCAUUGUUUGUACUAAUAUUGUGGAGGCAGAGAAUUGUGGCAGUCCACGGCACCAUUUUCUUGAACUGAAGAGUUCGAGACCCUUGUAGCUUAGAUGACCGAACCUUGCAGUGCCACAAAAAGGGACAAACUGAGAGGUUGUAUGAAAACAAGCUUGCCUUCGUGGUGAGGACCUAGCCACCAGAAAGAACAUUCUAUUUUCUGGACAUCUCGGUUUGGGAUAAUCAAGCCCCUUCAUUGGAUGGUAGAUCCGACACAAAACCACGUGGAUUAAGAUGAUUAAUCCUUCUCCUGCAGCUGACGAUACUCACCAAGUUGUCCUUAACUCCGAAACAAAUAAAACACUCGGGAACCACAUGCAAGAACCACUCAACAUCAGUACCUCACUUCCCUUUUCCCAUCACGGACAUCUUUCGAAAUUAUUUCCAAGUUUCCUAUCUGCCCGCACCCUUUCGUUGAGAUCGCUUAAACAAGGUUUUGCUCAACACAUGUGGUUGCUGCAUCCUGAAUCUAGAAACCACACAUCUUCUCUUCUUUCUCCCGAUCAGCUCAACGUAUGACAUUAGCAACAUUUCUUUCAUCUACCGAGUCAGCAUAUAAUGGCUUCCCAGCUAGGACACUCAUAUUGGAAGUGUACCGAGCUUAUGGCACUUGUAACAUUCAACAAUGGAUUGUCGGAAGAUCUGACGCCCUCUACUCUACCUUUUCCUCUAAAUGAAUCCUCGGCCUCGGCCUCGGCCUCUCCCUCCUGAUCUGUCAUCAGAUUACUUUUAAGGCUUGUUCUUCCCCAUGAUGCUUAUGAACUUAUGCUCGAUGAACAAUUAGAGAGCUUUGCCAACUCAUCGAUGGAUAGACGCAAUAUCUUCGGACUCCUCAAUUAGAACAAAACAAUGUAAUUUAAAUUUGUCUGUUAAAGGAACGAAGUAUUUCUCUACAAAUUAGUAACAUCCACCAUGCGCUCACCAUUGCACCCUCAUUUUGUUAGCCACUGACAUGACCCUUGAAAAAUAAUAGAAAACUUUCUCACCAGAUGUAUCUCCAAAGGUUUCAAACUCUUUAGAAGAGCUUGAAGAACUGAUCGAUAUCAACUAGUGCAUUUCCCCUUCAUAUUUUUUUUUCAUUGAGUCCCAAAUCUGCGUUGAGGGUUAUUCUGAAGAAUGGUCUCCCAAAAAUGUUCGGUCAAUGGCCUGGAACAAAUAAUCUUUACCUUCAGAUCCUCAACUUCAACUAGUCAAGCCUUCUUUGCUGGCUUCUGUCAAGCCGCUCCAUCCUCGGAUCAGAAUAUCCAAUCUCACCAAGAGACUCCAAUUACUCUUUAGACAUUAGAAAAUUUCCAUUAGCUACUCAUGCGCAUAAUGGACCAUCGAAAUCGAGGAAUUGCAGGUUGCCACAAAAUUCCCUUCACUCGCUAUCUUUCUCUCUCUGUUUGGAAGUUCUCAAAGUCUGCCCUACUUUUUCGCUCAGCCCAGUGGGGGCUCUUAUACCAGAAUGUUGAGAACUAAGAACUCAAGGUAAAACUUAUGAACUUGAGCACAGGCAAAACAAAUCUGGGAAUCCUUCUUAUUGAAUGAAACAGAACUGGGGCUAUUAAAUAGCUUUACAAACAUAACAGAAAGCAACAAAUAAGCCCACGUUCAUGCUAACUAAAAUCGUGGUAAUCAACAGAAGAAUAGGUCAAUAACAACCUACUUCCCUAUUCAAUAGGGAGUAUUCAAACCAGAAAGAUAAAGACUCUAACUGAAAAAACCUAUUAUCUUGACCAUUUUUUUUCUAACAGAUCUGAAAUCUGUUUCAGCACAAUUUUUUUCUUCAAUAAAACAGUUUCUGCAAUUAGGUUUUUUUUUCCGAUACAGAUUCUGAAAAUCAGAAUCUGGAAAUAUUCUAUAAAAAUAAAAACAGUUUUGAAAUUGGUCCACGGUAUCAUUCUUGCAAUUCAAACAUUAUCUGAACAAAAAUUAUUUUUCGUAAUUCAAUUGCGGAUCACAACAAUGGCAGAUGCAGGAAUUAAGUGUAGGGGGCCAAGUUAUAUAUUUUUAAUGAAUCUUUUGGUAAAAACGUUUAGGAAGAGCCAACUUCAAUGGACAAAUAACAAAAUAAUCAAAAUUAAUAGACAAAAU